rnacentral:rRNA from 1 species
GCGACCUCGCGAGAGCAAGCGCGACCUCGCGAGAGCAAGCGGACCUCAUAAAGUGCGUCGUAGUCCGGAUUGGAGUCUGCAACUCGACUCCAUGAAGUCGGAAUCGCUAGUAAUCGUGGAUCAGAAUGCCACGGUGAAUACGUUCCCGGGCCUUGUACACACCGCCCGUCACACCAUGGGAGUGGGUUGCAAAAGAAGUAGGUAGCUUAACCUUCGGGAGGGCGCUUACCACUUUGUGAUUCAUGACUGGGGUGAAGUCGUAACAAGGUAACCGUAGGGGAACCUGCGGUUGGAUCACCUCCUUA